GGACGCGCCUCCGGCGCACCCANNNACCCUUUGUGAACUUAUACCUUACUGUUGCCUCGGCGCANAGCCGGCCCCCCUUCACAUGGGGGCCCCCCGGAGACGGGGAGCAGCCCGCCGGCGGCCAACCUAACUCUUGUUUCUACACUGGAUCUCUGAGUAAAAAACAUAAAUGAAUCAAAACUUUCAACAACGGAUCUCUUGGUUCUGGCAUCGAUGAAGAACGCAGCGAAAUGCGAUAAGUAAUGUGAAUUGCAGAAUUCAGUGAAUCAUCGAAUCUUUGAACGCACAUUGCGCCCUCUGGUAUUCCGGAGGGCAUGCCUGUUCGAGCGUCAUUUCAACCCUCAAGCCUGGCUUGGUGAUGGGGCACUGCUUCCGCGAGGGAGCAGGCCCUGAAAUCUAGUGGCGAGCUCGCCAGGACCCCGAGCGCAGUAGUUAAACCCUCGCUCUGGAAGGCCCUGGCGGUGCCCUGCCGUUAAACCCCCAACUUCUGAAAAUUUGACCUCGGAUCAGGUAGGAAUACCCGCUGAACUUAAGCANC
rnacentral:rRNA from 1 species